rnacentral:rRNA from 1 species
GACGAACGCUUGCGGCGUGCUUAACACAUGCAAGUCGAACGGAAAGGCCCUGCUUUUGUGGGGUGCUCGAGUGGCGAACGGGUGAGUAACACGUGAGUAACCUGCCCUUGACUUUGGGAUAACUUCGGGAAACUGGGGCUAAUACCGGAUAGGAGCUCCUGCUGCAUGGUGGGGGUUGGAAAGUUUCGGCGGUUGGGGAUGGACUCGCGGCUUAUCAGCUUGUUGGUGGGGUAGUGGCUUACCAAGGCUUUGACGGGUAGCCGGCCUGAGAGGGUGACCGGCCACAUUGGGACUGAGAUACGGCCCAGACUCCUACGGGAGGCAGCAGUGGGGAAUAUUGCACAAUGGGCGGAAGCCUGAUGCAGCAACGCCGCGUGCGGGAUGACGGCCUUCGGGUUGUAAACCGCUUUCGCCUGUGACGAAGCGUGAGUGACGGUAAUGGGUAAAGAAGCACCGGCUAACUACGUGCCAGCAGCCGCGGUGAUACGUAGGGUGCGAGCGUUGUCCGGAUUUAUUGGGCGUAAAGGGCUCGUAGGUGGUUGAUCGCGUCGGAAGUGUAAUCUUGGGGCUUAACCCUGAGCGUGCUUUCGAUACGGGUUGACUUGAGGAAGGUAGGGGAGAAUGGAAUCCCUGGUGGAGCGGUGGAAUGCGCAGAUAUCAGGAGGAACACCCGUGGCGAAGGCGGUUCUCUGGGCCUUUCCUGACGCUGAGGAGCGAAAGCGUGGGGAGCGAACAGGCCUAGAUACCCUGGUAGUCCACGCUGUAAACGGUGGGUACUAGGUGUGGGGUCCAUUCCACGGGUUCCGUGCCGUAGCUAACGCUUUAAGUACCCCGCCUGGGGAGUACGGCCGCAAGGCUAAAACUCAAAGGAAUUGACGGGGCCCCGCACAAGCGGCGGAGCAUGCGGAUUAAUUCGAUGCAACGCGUAGAACCUUACCUGGGUUUGACAUGGAUCGGGAGUGCUCAGAGAUGGGUGUGCCUCUUUUGGGGUCGGUUCACAGGUGGUGCAUGGCUGUCGUCAGCUCGUGUCGUGAGAUGUUGGGUUAAGUCCCGCAACGAGCGCAACCCUUGUUCACUGUUGCCAGCACGUUAUGGUGGGGACUCAGUGGAGACCGCCGGGGUCAACUCGGAGGAAGGUGGGGAUGACGUCAAGUCAUCAUGCCCCUUAUGUCCAGGGCUUCACGCAUGCUACAAUGGCUGGUACAGAGAGUGGCGAGCCUGUGAGGGUGAGCGAAUCUCGGAAAGCCGGUCUCAGUUCGGAUUGGGGUCUGCAACUCGACCUCAUGAAGUCGGAGUCGCUAGUAAUCGCAGAUCAGCAACGCUGCGGUGAAUACGUUCCCGGGGCU